UGGGAAGUGGGAUAGGCUUGCUGAGCUG
rnacentral:piRNA from 1 species